UACGUAGGGGGCAAGCGUUGUCCGGAUUCAUUGGGCGUAAAGAGCGUGUAGGCGGCCAGGUAGGUCGGUUGUGAAAACUGGAGGCUCAACCUUCAGACGUCGACCGAAACCAUCUGGCUAGAGUCCGGGAGAGGAGAGUGGAAUUCCUGGUGUAGCGGUGAAAUGCGCAGAUAUCAGGAGGAACACCGGUGGCUAAGGCGGGUCUCUGGGCCGAUAUUGACGCUGAGGAGCGAAAGCGUGGGGAGCAAACAGG
rnacentral:rRNA from 1 species